rnacentral:tRNA from 2 species
CAAAUUAGAGCUUGUGAAAGUAUUUCAUUUACAUUGAAAGGAAAUUAAAAUUUAAUUAAUUUGA